UGCAGAACUCGUCACCUGUGAUGCUUCCGUCUACGUUUUUCAACCAGGAGCCGUGACGUGAAGUCUGGACCUCCGGGAUUUAACGCUUCUCUGGUGGACUUUGAAGCGUCAGAAGGCCACAUGUGGAGCCUCCUGACCACAGCCUCCACGUUCGCUGUGAGGAAACAUCUGGCCUCCCUCUUGUGCCUUCUGAGCUGACAGCAGUUCGAUCAAACACACUGGCUCAGUUCAGCAGGAACAAGAGUUCAGUCAACACGCAGCGUUCUGUCGUGAAAACCGAGCAAAUGAUGGGAAACCUCCAGGAGGAAGGAACAUGUGGCGAACCAGAGGAGAGCCUUUUGCUUUAUAACAAUGGAAAUGAAUGAUUUUAUUGUUGUUCAAUGUCAUUAAAGUGCAGUUUUGAACAGAUGCUAAUGCUGUCCAGACAUGAGGUUAUUAAAACAUAUUUAUGUCA